rnacentral:rRNA from 1 species
AAAUUGAAGAGUUUGAUCAUGGCUCAGAUUGAACGCUGGCGGCAGGCCUAACACAUGCAAGUCGAGCGGUAGCACAGAGAGCUUGCUCUCGGGUGACGAGCGGCGGACGGGUGAGUAAUGUCUGGGAAACUGCCUGAUGGAGGGGGGAUAACUACUGGAAACGGUAGCUAAUACCGCAUAAUGUCGCAAGACCAAAGUGGGGGACCUUCGGGCCUCAUGCCAUCAGAUGUGCCCAGAUGGGAUUAGCUUGUAGGUGGGGUAACGGCUCACCUAGGCGACGAUCCCUAGCUGGUCUGAGAGGAUGACCAGCCACACUGGAACUGAGACACGGUCCAGACUCCUACGGGAGGCAGCAGUGGGGAAUAUUGCACAAUGGGCGCAAGCCUGAUGCAGCCAUGCCGCGUGUGUGAAGAAGGCCUUCGGGUUGUAAAGCACUUUCAGCGGGGAGGAAGGCGGUGAGGUUAAUAACCUCAUCGAUUGACGUUACCCGCAGAAGAAGCACCGGCUAACUCCGUGCCAGCAGCCGCGGUAAUACGGAGGGUGCAAGCGUUAAUCGGAAUUACUGGGCGUAAAGCGCACGCAGGCGGUCUGUCAAGUCGGAUGUGAAAUCCCCGGGCUCAACCUGGGAACUGCAUUCGAAACUGGCAGGCUAGAGUCUUGUAGAGGGGGGUAGAAUUCCGAGGUGUAGCGGUGAAAUGCGUAGAGAUCUGGAGGAAUACCGGUGGCGAAGGCGGCCCCCCUGGACAAAGACUGACGCUCAGGUGCGAAAGCGUGGGGAGCAAACAGGAUUAGAUACCCUGGUAGUCCACGCCGUAAACGAUGUCGAUUUGGAGGUUGUGCCCUUGAGGCGUGGCUUCCGGAGCUAACGCGUUAAAUCGACCGCCUGGGGAGUACGGCCGCAAGGUUAAAACUCAAAUGAAUUGACGGGGGCCCGCACAAGCGGUGGAGCAUGUGGUUUAAUUCGAUGCAACGCGAAGAACCUUACCUGGUCUUGACAUCCACAGAACUUAGCAGAGAUGCUUUGGUGCCUUCGGGAACUGUGAGACAGGUGCUGCAUGGCUGUCGUCAGCUCGUGUUGUGAAAUGUUGGGUUAAGUCCCGCAACGAGCGCAACCCUUAUCCUUUGUUGCCAGCGGUCCGGCCGGGAACUCAAAGGAGACUGCCAGUGAUAAACUGGAGGAAGGUGGGGAUGACGUCAAGUCAUCAUGGCCCUUACGACCAGGGCUACACACGUGCUACAAUGGCAUAUACAAAGAGAAGCGACCUCGCGAGAGCAAGCGGACCUCAUAAAGUAUGUCGUAGUCCGGAUUGGAGUCUGCAACUCGACUCCAUGAAGUCGGAAUCGCUAGUAAUCGUAGAUCAGAAUGCUACGGUGAAUACGUUCCCGGGCCUUGUACACACCGCCCGUCACACCAUGGGAGUGGGUUGCAAAAGAAGUAGGUAGCUUAACCUUCGGGAGGGCGCUUACCACUUUGUGAUUCAUGACUGGGGUGAAGUCGUAACAAGGUAACCGUAGGGGAACCUGCGGUUGGAUCACCUCCUUA